rnacentral:rRNA from 1 species
CCGGCGACCGGCGGACGGGUGUGUAACGCGUAUGUAACCUACCUUUGACAGGGGGAUAACAUCGAGAAAUUGGUACUAAUACCCCAUAACAUCACCGGAGGCAUCUUCGGUGGUUGAAAACUCAGGUGGUCAGAGAUGGACAUGCGUUGUAUUAGCUAGUUGGUGAGGUAACGGCUCACCAAGGCGACGAUACAUAGGGGGACUGAGAGGUCAACCCCCCACAUUGGUACUGAGACACGGACCAAACUCCUACGGGAGGCAGCAG